CUAAACCAUGCACCGAAGCUGCGGCAGCGACACUGUGUGUUGUUGGGUAGGGGAGCGUUCUGUAAGCCUGCGAAGGUGGCCUGUGAGGGUUGCUGGAGGUAUCAGAAGUGCGAAUGCUGACAUAAGUAACGAUAAAGCGGGUGAAAAGCCCGCUCGCCGGAAGACCAAGGGUUCCUGUCCAACGUUAAUCGGGGCAGGGUGAGUCGACCCCUAAGGCGAGGCCGAAAGGCGUAGUCGAUGGGAAACGGGUUAAUAUUCCCGUACUUGGUGUUACUGCGAAGGGGGGACGGAGAAGGCUAUGUUGGCCGGGCGACGGUUGUCCCGGUUUAAGCGUGUAGGUGUGUGUUCCAGGUAAAUCCGGUUCACUUUAACACUGAGGCGUGACGACGAGGCACUACGGUGCUGAAGCAACAAAUGCCCUGCUUCCAGGAAAAGCCUCUAAGCAUCAGGUAACAUCAAAUCGUACCCCAAACCGACACAGGUGGUCAGGUAGAGAAUACCAAGGCGCUUGAGAGAACUCGGGUGAAGGAACUAGGCAAAAUGGUGCCGUAACUUCGGGAGAAGGCACGCUGACACGUAGGUGAAGUGAUUUACUCAUGGAGCUGAAGUCAGUCGAAGAUACCAGCUGGCUGCAACUGUUUAUUAAAAACACAGCACUGUGCAAACACGAAAGUGGACGUAUACGGUGUGACGCCUGCCCGGUGCCGGAAGGUUAAUUGAUGGGGUCAGCGCAAGCGAAGCUCCUGAUCGAAGCCCCGGUAAACGGCGGCCGUAACUAUAACGGUCCUAAGGUAGCGAAAUUCCUUGUCGGGUAAGUUCCGACCUGCACGAAUGGCGUAAUGAUGGCCAGGCUGUCUCCACCCGAGACUCAGUGAAAUUGAACUCGCUGUGAAGAUGCAGUGUACCCGCGGCAAGACGGAAAGACCCCGUGAACCUUUACUAUAGCUUGACACUGAACAUUGAGCCUUGAUGUGUAGGAUAGGUGGGAGGCUUUGAAGUGUGGACGCCAGUCUGCAUGGAGCCGACCUUGAAAUACCACCCUUUAAUGUUUGAUGUUCUAACGUGGACCCGUUACCCGGGUUGCGGACAGUGUCUGGUGGGUAGUUUGACUGGGGCGGUCUCCUCCUAAAGAGUAACGGAGGAGCACGAAGGUUGGCUAAUCCUGGUCGGACAUCAGGAGGUUAGUGCAAUGGCAUAAGCCAGCUUGACUGCGAGCGUGACGGCGCGAGCAGGUGCGAAAGCAGGUCAUAGUGAUCCGGUGGUUCUGAAUGGAAGGGCCAUCGCUCAACGGAUAAAAGGUACUCCGGGGAUAACAGGCUGAUACCGCCCAAGAGUUCAUAUCGACGGCGGUGUUUGGCACCUCGAUGUCGGCUCAUCACAUCCUGGGGCUGAAGUAGGUCCCAAGGGUAUGGCUGUUCGCCAUUUAAAGUGGUACGCGAGCUGGGUUUAGAACGUCGUGAGACAGUUCGGUCCCUAUCUGCCGUGGGCGCUGGAGAACUGAGGGGGGCUGCUCCUAGUACGAGAGGACCGGAGUGGACGCAUCACUGGUGUUCGGGUUGUCAUGCCAAUGGCACUGCCCGGUAGCUAAAUGCGGAAGAGAUAAGUGCUGAAAGCAUCUAAGCACGAAACUUGCCCCGAG
rnacentral:rRNA from 1 species